rnacentral:lncRNA from 1 species
CCAGGGCCGGAUUAACAUAGGGGCUGAUGGAGCUGCAGCUCCAGGCCCAGGCCCAUGGAAUAGGCCCAUUUAAAAAAAAAAAAAAUGUUUUUUUUUUGUUUUUUUUACACACUACUCUUAGGUUUGCCUCCUGACUGGUAUUUUAUUGGCACAGAUGGUUUUUGAGGCUGCCUGGCCGUGCCGGUAUUCCAGUAAUACCGGCAAUACAAAUGCAGGUAAUUUUCUCAGAAUAAAUGGAAAUUACCCUGCAAUACCAGCACCGGCCAGUAGGGGUCACUGUGUGUGGAGGGAGGCAGGGAUAGGAAGUUACAGAAUAUCCCUGCCUCUCUCUACUACUCACUGAUCCCUGGGGGAGCAGCUACACAGCACAGAGAGUCCAGACAGCAGCUCUACAGCUCAGGUAAGUGAGGGACGGGGGGAAAGGCAGCAGGGACACAUGGGGACACUGAGACACUAGGGGACACAUGGGGACACUGAGACACUAAGGGACACAGACACUAGGGGACACAUGAUGACACAUACACUAGGGGACACUGAGACACUAGGACACAGACACUGGGAGACCUGGGAACACUGAGACACUUGGGGACACUGCAAAACAUGGGGACACUGAGACACUAGGGGACACUGAGACACUUGGGGACAUGGGGACACAGACACUAGGGGACACAUGGGAACACAGACACUAGGGGACACUGAGACACUAGGACACAUGGGGACACAGGCACUGUGAGACCUGGGGACACAGACACUUGGGGACACUGGAAAACAUGGGGACACUGAGACACUAGGGGACACAUGGGGAUGCUGAGACACAUGGGGACGCUGUGAGACAUAGGGACAUUGGGACACGGAGACACUAUGUCCCCCAGCCAGUGUCCCUAGUGUCUCAGUGUCCCCAAGUCUCCCAGUGUCUGUGUCCCAUGUCUCUGUGUGCCUAGUGUCCCCAUGUUUCCCAAUGUCCCCAUGUCUAUGCCCACAACUGUCCCCAUGUCUCCCCAAGUAUCUGUCUCCCAGACAGUUUCCCCUAGUCUCCCAGUAUCCCCUAGUCUCCCAGUGUCCCCUAGUCUCCCAGUGUCUUUGUUCCCAUGUCUGUGUCCCUAGUGUCUUAGUGUCCCCAAAUGUUUCAGUGUCCCCAUGUCUCCCAGUGUCUGUGUCCCUAGUGUCUCAGUAUCCCCAUUUCUCCCAGUUUCCCUAAAUGUCUCAGUGUCCCCAUGUCUCCCAGUGUCCCCAUGACUCUGUGUCCCCGGGUCUCUCAGUGUCCCCAUGUCUCUCAGUGUCCCCAAUAUCCUAGUGACAUGGGGGCACACUGAGACAUUGGGACACUGGGAGAAAUGGGGACACAGACACUGGGAGACUAGGGGACUGGGUGACAUGGGGACACUGACACUGUGAUACAUAGGGACACUGAGACACUGGGUGACUUGCGAUACUGAGACACUGGGAGACAGGGAGACACUGGGAGCAAUCCGUCUAUACAGCAGAAUCAAACUGUGAGUAGUUUGUUGGUGAUUUUACAGAAUUUUCACUCCUUGUGAUUUACACGCAUAACUAAUUAAUUAUACAAAUGAUUAAGGUUGGUAUUUUUUUCCAAGAAAGGUGGUAACCUUAACUACUCUUCACAUACUCUUCACAUACUCUUGCUUAAAGGAGCACUAUAGUGUCAGGAACAUAAUCAUGUAUGUCCCGACGAGACCCCUGCGCUCAGCCCAAGACCUACUCCUAUCCUCUGCCCGGAUCCCCACCUCUGAUGCUCGCCUUCAAGACUUCUCCAGGGCUGCACCUAUUCUGUGGAACUCCCUUCCCUCCUCAAUCAGACUUUCACCCAGCCUCUAUUCCUUCAAAAAAUCUUUGAAAACUCACUUCUUUAUUAAAGCGUAUCAAUUAAACUGUCAGCAGGUUUCUCAUCCCCCACCCCAUGACUCCGUUCCUUCACCUGUCAAAAAUGACCUACCAAGCACUCAAUAAACCCUUCUGUAACAAACUAUUUAAUUCCCCUACUUUAACCCUUUGUGUCACUAUACCCCACUCCCUCUAGCAUGUAAGCUCAUCGAGCAGGGCCCUCAACCCCCUCUGUUCCUGGACGUCAGUGGUCUGAUCUCAAUUAUGUGUCUGUUAGUCCACCCAUUGUACAGCGCUACGGAAUUUGUUGGCGCUAUAUAAAUAAUAAAAUAAUAAUAAUAAAUGUAUUUCUUACCCUAUUAUGUUAAAACCACCACCCUGGCCCCUUCUUCCCUCCUUAAAUAUAGUAAAAUAUUACUUGUAUUCAAUUCUGCAGCUGCUGGCUCAGAAGUGGUGGUCUGAGCAAAUUACAAUACUUCCCCAUAGGAUUGGCUGAGACUGUCAACUAGGCAGAUCAGGGGCAGAGCCAGCACAAGUCCAACAUAGCCCUGGCCAAUCAGCAUCUCCUCAUAAAGAUAAAUUGAAUCAAUGCAUCUCUAUGAGGAAAGUGCAGUGUCUGCAUGCAGAGGGUGGAGACACUGAAUGGCAGUGCUGCACACUAGGCAGUACUGCCCCAGGAAGCACCUCUAGCAGCCAUCUAAGGAGCGGCCAGUGGAGUUAUUUUCUCUGAAAAGACAGUGUUUUCUGCAAAAAGCCUGAAUGGAAUGAUUCUGCUUACCAGAACAAAUACAAUAAGCUGUAGUUGUUCUGGUGACUAUAGUGUCCCUUUAAGUUUGGAAGCUUAAGAGGGAUGUAUGGGAACAAAACUUGUGUGCACUGGCUGACAUUAAAGUUAGUUUAGGUAAUGCAGACGUUGGUCUCUCUAACACUGUGGCAUGUCCCCUUUCUUCUACACUCACUACAGACACCUUUUCUCUGUCUCAGACUAUACCAGGAACUUCUGCCUGCUAGUAAGAAGGUAAGGAGAUAAGUGCCACGCUUAGGGUGCUGCCUGCAUAGUAUGCCCUUAGUUGGACAGCCUGCAGGAUUGGCAGGCAGCCUGACAUGCAUUCAUGCCAGGCUGACCUUCCAAUUCUUUGGACAAACAUUCCCCCUUUUUGGGCAUGUUCACCCCUUUUGGCAGGUCUUGUCACGUGAUUCGCGCCAGUGGC